UACGUAGGGUGCGAGCGUUGUCCGGAAUUAUUGGGCGUAAAGAGCUUGUAGGCGGUCUGUCGCGUCGGUCGUGAAAACUUGGGGCUUAACCCUGAGCUUGCGGUCGAUACGGGCAUGACUGGAGUUCGGCAGGGGAGACUGGAAUUCCUGGUGUAGCGGUGAAAUGCGCAGAUAUCAGGAGGAACACCGGUGGCGAAGGCGGUUCUCUGGGCAUUACCUGACGCUGAGGAGCGAAAGUGUGGGGAGCGAACAGG
rnacentral:rRNA from 1 species